rnacentral:rRNA from 1 species
UAUGAAGGGUGCAAGCGUUACUCGGAAUUACUGGGCGUAAAGCGUGCGUAGGUGGUUCGUUAAGUCUGAUGUGAAAGCCCCGGGCUCAACCUGGGAACUGCAUUGGAUACUGGCGAUCUGGAGUGCGGUAGAGGGUGGCGGAAUUCCCGGUGUAGCAGUGAAAUGCGUAGAUAUCGGGAGGAACAUCCGUGGCGAAGGCGGCCACCUGGACCAGCACUGACACUGAGGCACGAAAGCGUGGGGAGCAAACAGG